CCUACGGGGGGCAGCAGUGAGGAAUAUUGGUCAAUGGACGAGAGUCUGAACCAGCCAAGUAGCGUGAAGGAUGACUGCCCUAUGGGUUGUAAACUUCUUUUAUAUGGGAAUAAAAUGUUCCACGUGUGGGAUUUUGUAUGUACCCUAUGAAUAAGCAUCGGCUAACUCCGUGCCAGCAGCCGCGGUAAUACGGAGGAUCCGAGCGUUAUCCGGAUUUAUUGGGUUUAAAGGGAGCGCAGGCGGAUUGUUAAGUCAGUUGUGAAAGUUUGCGGCUCAACCGUAAAAGUGCAGUUGAAACUGGCAGUCUUGAGUACAGUAGAGGUGGGCGGAAUUCGUGGUGUAGCGGUGAAAUGCUUAGAUAUCACGAAGAACUCCGAUUGCGAAGGCAGUUCACUGGACUGCAACUGACACUGAGGCUCGAAAGUGUGGGUAUCAAACAGGAUUAGAUACCCUAGUAGUC
rnacentral:rRNA from 1 species